GACGAACCGUGCGAACGUUGUUCGGAAUCACUGGGCUUAAAGGGCGCGUAGGCGGGCAGGCAAGUCAGGGGUGAAAUCCCACGGCUCAACCGUGGAAGUGCCUUUGAUACUGCCGGUCUUGAGGGAGGUAGGGGCGUGCGGAACUUCCGGUGGAGCGGUGAAAUGCGUAGAUAUCGGAAGGAACACCGGUGGCGAAAGCGGCGCGCUGGACCUCUUCUGACGCUGAGGCGCGAAAGCCAGGGGAGCAAACGGG
rnacentral:rRNA from 1 species